GAUGAACGCUGGCGGCGUGCUUAACACAUGCAAGUCGAACGGAAAGGCGCUGCGUUUGCUGGUUUCUCGUUUGCCGCACGGGGGAGUAUCACGUGUGUAACCUCCCCUUGUCUUUCUGAUAACUUUACGAGAAUCCGGCUCUUACCGCAUAUGAUCUUUUGCUGCGUGUUGUUGAAUGGUAAAAUCCGGUCGUUGUGGAUGUACUGGCGGGUUCUCAGCUUGUUGGUCUGGUAGUGACUUACCAAGGUUUUGACGGGUAGCCGGCCUGAGAGGGUGACCGGCCACAAUGGUACUGCGGUACGGAGCAGAAGCGUACGUGAGGCAGCAGUGGGGAGUCUUGCAGAAUGGGCGGAAGCCUGAUGUAGCAACGUCGGGUGCGGGAUGACGGCUUUCGGGUUGUAAACAGAUUUCGACUGAGACGAAGAGAGAGUGACGGUAAUGAGUAAAGAAGCACCGGCUAACUACGUG
rnacentral:rRNA from 1 species